UGGGGAUGUACUCAGUUGUAGAGAACCCCUGGAUUCCAUCCCAUCCCCAGUACUACGGGAAAAAAAAAGUGUAAAUUUUACUCGCCAGCCUCCUCCCUCUCCAAUCUGCACUGCCUGGAGGUGAUUUGUGCUCUCCUGCUGUCUUUCUCGUUGAGGCUUCCUAGUUAAUCAUGGCUGCUUCUUGCCACCUAUACUUUAUUCCUUAUCUUUACUUUCUUUUCUCUGCCACACUCAUCCUCUGGAUAUCUGUCACCUUAACCUUUUCUUCCUUUUCAAGUCAGUCUUUUGGUCCUUCUUUAAUGAGAGCUUUGUGUCUUAUGUUAUAUGAAGUGCUUCUUAGUGCAUGUGGUCUUACUGAAUCAGUUCAUUAGGCCAGCUGGCCUUAUGCUUCAGCAGAAUUUAAUGCCCCUCUCAAGGGAUGGCUUCAGGUCUUUGGAAGGGCCUCUCUCUCCCCUCUAAAAAAGGCUGCAUCAUAGAUCCUGGAUGAAAAGUCCUAGAAACUACCAGGUCCAGUCUGCUAUCUUGAGGCAAGCAAGGAGUCUCCUUAUGUACAGAAGAGGCAGAGAUAAGGCAUUUUAACCUUUAGCCUCUAAAUAAAACGUACCAUCUACUGCAUUUCUCCCAUAAGGCUAACUAAAAUGUUCAUGAUUAGAUUUUUUUCUUCCUUUUUGGGUUUUGGGUCUAGAAAAUAUAAUACUGAUAAAUUGAACAUUCUAGGAACUAUUGACACAUAGUUUCUAUCAAUGAUUUAUGGUAGAACAUGAAGAAGUUUUUCUCUGCCAGGAAGCAGAUUUUGAGAGGAUCAUGGGAAACAAGCAGCAGGAUAUUAAAUCUUGUGGGAGAAGCUGGGAAUGGCCAAGUUGGCAAGUUGGAGGCAAACUGUUCCCUCAAACUUAUUUUUUUAAGUACAGUCUCCAGACCAGCAGCAUCAGUGUCUCCUUGGAUGUUUAGAAACGCAAAUUCUAAGGCCCCAUCCAACAAUCAGAAAGUCAGAUGGGCCUUAGGAAUCUGUGAUUCCAAAGCCCACUACAGUUUGAGAAUGGCUGUACAAAGAUAUUCAUGGUUUUCCACAGCUGGCACUUGAUAAUCGGCAGAUUUCAGAGUGGAUGUAACUCAGUAGCCAUGCACUAAGGAUUCAGGAGGUUGACCAGCAGCAUUUUGUGGAUGAAGACACUGACACAUUUAUUUAGAGGGGCUUCUUCAUUGCCUGACUGGGUUUUGAAAAUCCCUGCUGGCCUCUCAGGAGGCAUUUUCCUAAAGGUUAGCCCCUCCAUUUUUGCCCUCUAUACCAAAAAAAAA
rnacentral:lncRNA from 1 species